CUCUACCGCGGGACCCCAGAAGUGAUGGCUGCGGUUCCACCCGUGCUUCUUGGACAGCCAGGCCCCUGCAGUGACAGCGCAGACCUUCCUCCCCUGCAAAGUGGGGGAGAUAACAGAGAGAGGCUCACGGAGUUGCCCUUUAGACUGAGUUGGGUCAUUUGUGGCCAGCGCUCCCCACGGCACCUGCCACGGCGCAUGCAUUCACACGUGUCACCCACGGAAGGCUGGAGUCGCCCACUCAGCCCUCCUGCUGCCAGCCCCGGGCCACUCCCCUGCGAGCCUGGCUCCCCCGGAGCACAUCUUCCCUCCGGUAGAUAAAUGCUGUUACCACUGCCCAAAGAUCUCCGUGGAGUCCGUUACAGGAAUCGAACUCACGAGUGUGCCAGGCAGGCACGUGUGCCGCUGAGCUGUAUCCCUGGCUGGUGCUUUGGAUUCGGGUCUUUCCCAGUCUUGCGGCCCCCUCCAGACCUGAACAGAGCAUUGAGCUGCCGGCUCUGUCAUCCAUCAAUCAACCGACUCUCUCACCAGCAGCCGUGUUGUUGCUGUGCCCAGCAAUUUCGGCGCAGGAAGCACUCUUUCAGCUUAGCAGCCUUUGCAGUGUGCUGCAGUCAAGGCACCUCGGUACUGGCAAAUUACAGAUGCUCCACAUUGUCAUGGCGUGCCCUGGGCUGGAAUUCAGGAACAUGAGAAGGCUCAGCCAGUGCAGGAGUGCACAAGUGGAGAACCCCGAUGUUACCUAGGAAUCAGGUGUCCCGGGGACCUGCCAGCACUACUUGGAUUCCCCCACAGAGUGCCUCUGCACUGGUCCCCAUGCACCCCAAAGUGAGACUGUCUUCGGUGCUUUGCAUGUGACACGCAGUUUUGGAAUGAUUGAUCCUGCACACGCCAUCCAUUACUUAGGCCUCUGCCAGGGGCAGGAGACAGGGUGCGGACCCGACAGGAGCUACUGGAUAAACAGGUUUGUUGAGUUAAAAAAAACAAAAAAAAAGAAAUCCUAGCAGAGAGAGGAGGCAGACGGGGCAGUGAAGGAUAAGGAGCAUCAUGCUUCUCCCUCAGGUGAGCGAGGCACGGCGGAGCGGGUCUGCGCUCUGCCCGAGCCCCUUCCACCACUGUUACAGACUGAAGCUUGCACCCGCCCUAAUUUUAUAUAUUGAUGUUCCAACACCCCAUGUGACUAAAUUUGGAGUUGUGGCCUUUAAGAUAUAAUUAAGAUUAAAAAUGAGCUCAAAAAGACAUUGAACGGGACUGGUGUCCUCUGAAAAGAGAAAUUGUGAUCACAGACUCGGUGCACACAGAAAAACCAUAGGAAGACACUGCAAGAAAGACACCACCAGCAAGCCAAACCGAGAGCCCUCAGAAGGCCCCGCUUGAUCCUGGACUUCCAGCCCCAGAGCUUUGAGACUGUGCAUUUCUGUGCAUUAAGCCCCUCUGGGUGUGAUGUUUUGUUAUAGCAGCACAACUUGACUAAGACAGCUUCUUCCAACUCCAGGAACAUGAGCACAAUGCAGAGCAGAAGCUGCCUGAGCAGUGUGGGCCUCCGACCAGCUGCCCAAACUAGCUCCUCAAAUUUGUAUCCGUGCUCUGCUCACGGAUAGUUCCCAAGGAAGCAGAUAGCUUAGGAGCAAGUUUGUCUUGCUUUUUUUCUUAAGGAAAAGACUUUGUGGUGUGAUGGAGGAGGUGUCAGAGGUCCCACACAUUCAGGAUCCUCAGAAGCACCAGACAGUGGACCUUGAACAAGUCACUUAAACCCUGGACCAUCCUUAACCUUCUCUGUCACAUGAACUUAAAGUCAGACCAACGUUAUGGUUUGGACAUGAAUUUUUUAUCAAGUGUACACUUCUUGAUAGCUUUAGGUACCCAGCAGCAUUUCCCUGCUUGCCAUCAGAGGCCACCACAGACUCCCUUCCUGGGCUGCCCCGGACAUGCUCUUCAGAGCCAGUGGGCUGGCACUGCCCUCUCAGUCUGAGAUACUGGGCUGGUUGCUUAUUGGCCAUAGGCUGCUAGGUCUUACCAGAGAGCACAAAGUCCACUGUUGAGGGACCAUAGUUCCAAACUCUGCACUAAGUUGCUGCUUAAAUUGCCUAGAAAAUGAGGCCUCAAGAAGCACAGGCUCAGGGGCAUGGCUGGGAAACUAAGGUGGGUUCAUUCAGGAGCAGGGCUUCCCAUGCCUUUGACCCACUGGAAUCCCCUGGAAAGCUUGCUAACUAUGGAUGUUUAAGCUCAACCUCGGUGUUUCUGCUUUGGUAGAUCUGGGAUGGGAACCUGAAAAUGGAUGAUUCUUAUGAAUCUCCAGCUGGUGUUGGACCUGUGGGUCUUGGAGCCACACCCUGAGAACCAGUGUGCUGGCUUUGGUCCACCAGGCACUCUCGAUCUCCAUGGGGAUGGCUCCAGGUCCAGGAUGGGGGGAAAGACACCUGCACGCACACACACACACAGGGAGAGAGAGAGAGAGACAGAGAGACAGAGAGAGCAAGAGAAGAAAAAUGAAGAGAAGAGGAGAGGAGAGGAGAGGAGAGGAGAAGAGAGGAGAGGAGAAAGGCAAAGGCCUGGCAGCUCUCUGUAGUCACUGAUCUCUCACAGUUCUGGAAGCCAGAAUCCAAGAUCAAAGUGCUGGCAGGCUUAAUGUCCCUUAGGGCUCAGUCUUUGCUUCCAAAAUGGCAUCUUGCUGCUGAGACUUCUGGGAGGGACAAAUACUGUCCUCAUAUGAGCAGGUCCCUUGCAUUUCUCUUACAAGAUCAUUAAUGCCAUUUGUGAGUGGGGAGCCCUUGUGACCUCAUCAUCCCCUAAAGACCCCCAUCUGGGGCUAGGUCACCUAGUGUGAACAGUGGUGGGGACACAACUGCAGAAUCAUCUAACGUGCCAGCAAGAUGGGGACACCAGAAGUCCCUUCAGCCCGGUACUCUCUGUGCCUGAGAGCCAGGAAGGGUAGCACUGACCACCGCAGAAGGGGGGACCUGCCUUCGCCCUCCAGAGGAGGCAGCAGGUCAGGACAGUGCGGUGGGAUGAGGAGAGAGACACAUGCUUGUUGGUGCCUGUGUCAGGGAUGGACAAGGAGUUGGGAACACGGAUCGCUAAGGCUUUUUAAAAAAGAGCAUGAAGUCAUAGCUUUAAAAUGAGCAAGACUGAGUUUUACAAGCUGAAAUGAAGCUUUUUCAAUGACUCCAAUACCUUGUAGUGGGGAGCCAUCAUGAUGAGACUCUGGGAGACAGUGUCCCCAGUACUGUCCUGGGGAAUGAAACCUUUUCAUAUUCACGUGCCAGACAGUGAAGACCUCAUGAAAGUCUCCUGUGCCUUCUGGCUGUCUUGCUUGGGGUCUUCGCUGUGUUGAGGUUCCCGGGAAGGAUAAUCAGCUGUGAAGCCAAUUCCUUCUCUUGCAGGCUGCAGUGUUAAUCCUCUCUCCAUGGCCUCUAAACUACCUCUGUUAGCUGUGCUGGGUUUUUCUGAGCAAGCAAUUCCACUCUUUCAUGAUCCUGUCCACUUUUUGUCUCAAAUUCCUUAGUGUUAAAAUCAAUUAUGCAGUAAAUGUAGUAUUAAAACACAAGAACUUGUGUUUUCUUAAAUGAAAUUUACAGUCUCCAUGGGAAUGAUUAUCAUCAAACGCUUAAUGACUUUAUAAAAAGCAAAUGAAACCAAAUACACACAUAGAAGCAGACACUAUUAAGUUAGCUUACAAGAGGGCUACAGCUUCAAACACAUCGAACAAGACUUUUAUUAGGUAGGAACGAUAACUAGAUGUCUUUACUCAUCAGAAAUUUUAUUGGAGUCCUGUCCUCUUUUGAGAAGGGAAAAAUAAUUGGAACUCAAGUGCAAAUGAAAAUGUAUCUUAAAAGUAACUUCUAGGAGUUCUCAGGAUGCUAGCCAGUCUCUUUUGAGUUCUUCAUCUGCAAUAAAAACUAGUGUGAGGGGCAACAGUGUAGAAAGAAGCCUGAGCUCUCGUCUCUGCCCUCUUGGGCAUGAUUGUGUGACUGUCUCUCUAGCCCACCCUACUCCAGCACCGUCCAGCACCUGGUUCCUUGAGUAUAAAGUGAGGGACUGGAGGAGGAUGACAUCUCACCAUUUAACAUCUUGAAAUUUUUAAGAUGCUGAGUGCAAGAUUAAAAAUGUUAACUUCUUGGGGAACUGACUGGUUCCAGGAAAGGGGCAUGAAGUACACUAAUCCCUGUAUGGUUGAGACACAAUAACUGAUUCCCAAGUUUAAAGGAUAGCUUUGGAUACCCAGAGGAUUAGUUUAGCUCACGGUUGUAGGAGAUUCAGUUCAUGGUCAGCUGACUCCAGGAUAAGAACAUCGGAGCAGAAGGGAGUGGGAGAGCAAGGCUGCUUGGGUCACGGUGGCCAGCAAGCAGAGUGGGGACAGUGCUGGAGAAGAGCAGGUGGGAGAGCGUGCAUGGUAUCCAAAGCCGCACCUCCAUAACCCUUCUUGGUUAAACAGCGAAACUGGUAAAUCAGAGUUAGUGACCGUACCUUCCUGUGGCCACAGCUUUGUCCCCCCCAUAGGCAGCCAUAGUCUGAACACAUUAAAUGGGAAAUUUCGGGAGCAAGCAAUUCAUAAUGUAAAAGUGUGUGUCAUUGUAUAAUCAAGGGAAUAGUGUCGUGCUGACCUACACAGCUCAGGAUGUGAAUCAUCCCUUACACUACAUCCCCAUUAGUCACUUGGUAACCAUGUUGGGCCUCAGGUGACUGUCGGUAUUGUGGUGUUUGUGUUUAAGUAAACUUUAUGUUACUUAAUAAUGCCUGAAGCAUGAAAUUAGUGGUGUCAGAGAUUUGGAUAUGCCAAAGAGAAGCUGCAAAGUGCUUCCUUUAAAUGAAAAGAUGAAAGUAACCUCUGUAGGAAGGGUGAAAAGUGGUGUCUUGAGGUUGGUAAGAUCCACAGUGGAAACAAAUCUAUCUGGGAAAUUGUGAGGAAGGACAAAGAACUUUUUGUUAGUUUUGCUGCUGUAACUCAAAAGGCACAGCUUUGGCGCAUGAUAAAGUCUUAAUUAAGAUAGAAAAGAUAUUACACUUGUGUGUGUGCAUAGCCUCCCCCCCCCCCCCACAUACAAGGCUCUGCACUGGUUACAGUAUCAGUUAUCUUCUGGAGACCCUGAAAGUCUGUCCUAAGGAUGAACGGGACCUCUGCAUACCAGAGAGCCCGGACUACAGUAAGGGCUUAAAACAACUAGCCAGACCAACACAAAACCCGUAACAAUGAGGUAUGGCAAAAGGAUCCAGAGACACUGAAAAAACCCCAAAGGCUAAAGCUGGAACAGUUUGAGCAACAAAAUAACUAAGAUAGCGUUGGAUUAUAGCCCAAGUUUUAAAAAUAUUUAUGAGUCUGUCUGUAGGAGAGGAAAAAGCAAUUUUUUACCCAUCUUAUGCUCUUUGCCUGGGACCCUGUCUGUAAACUAGACUUGCAAAGACGUAUUAACAAGACAAAAGCAAAGUGAAAUUUAUUAAUAUGUAAUGCUCAUAUGAAUAUGUGCAUAUAAAUAUUAAUAUGCACAUAUAAAUGAGGGAGGCACGAGCCAAAGGGAUCUAGGUUCCUAUUCUAUCAUCUGCUAAACAAAGGGAAAAGGCUUUGGGAUUCCAGUCAAAGGAAACAAGUUAAGGGAGUGUAACCAGGAAAAACAUGGUAAACAAGGACUGUUUAGAAGGUUUGUCACAUGGAUUGAAGUUGGGUGUUUUUGCUAUCGGUAAGACUUGUUGAAGGAGUCUUCCUUUUUGUGGCAGGAGAGGAAGAAACAUUCUACAAAUGGAUAUCAGUGCAAACUUCAUUUGCAAAAGGAAAACUUGUUCCCUGUUUUUAGGGCUUUUACUGCCAUUGCUAGUUCUGAAUGGCCUUUAGCUCAAAAUAAUCCACACACCAGAGAGGCAUAUCUGGGGUGCCCUAUUUCAAUACUCUCCCAGUCUAUACUGCUAUAAAGAAGCGACUGUAUAAGUAGAGAGGUAGGGGAGAAGAGAGAAAUCUCUGUGCAGAAUUUCCAAUAUGGGGAUAGUCCAUUCACAAAGAGAGGCAGUAUGAUUUCCCAUUUCUUAGACAUUGAUCAAACGUAGAGCAAACAAAGAUUACGGUCAUAAGGGAAGAGUAACAUGACAGGUUAGAGUCUAGCAAACCCCACCCAGCCAGAUGAUCAAGGUCAACAUGAACAGUGAGGUCAUGUCCAUAGUACACGCUCUUGCUAUGGUGUGAUGGGAAGAGGCUUCAUUUCUGUCAUCUUUCCAAAAAUUAAUAGCCCCAUUCGAAUCAUGAGCCAAACAUCAGAAACAAACCCCAACUGAGAAGCAUUCUAGAAAAUGCUAAUAGUGCUCUUCAAAAUUAUCAAAGUCACCUAAAACAAGAAAAGUCUCAGAAACUGUUACAACCAAGGGGAGUCUAAGUAGACAGGAUGAUUAAAUGAAAGAUGUAUUUUGGUUGAUCUCCUAGAACAGAAAGAGGAUAUUUGGCAACAACUAAGUAAAUCCUUGUAAACUAUGUUGAUAGAGUUAAUUGACCAAUAUUAUUAUUAUUAUUUUUUUUUUUUGGUCUUUUUCCUUUUUAUCGGUACCGAGGAUCGAACUCAUGACUGACUGCUUGCAAGGCAGGCGCUAUGUCGCUGAGCUAAAUCCCCAGCCCCAAUAUUAAUUUCUUAAUUGCAUAAAACCUUCCAUAUUAUAGUUGGAUGCUAACUGGGAAAGGUAGCUGUGAGGAUAUAUGGAAACUCUCUUGAUUGUCUUUGUAAUUUUUCUGUAAACCUGAAACUGUUCUAAAAAUUUAUUUCAAAGAAAAAUGAUAGUCCUGAAGGUAAGCAAGACUCACAGAAAUGACCCCGUGUAGUUGUACAAGAAGGCAGAGUUGAUACAGAAUAUCCAAUAAAGAGUAAAAAACCUGGUAUUUAAUUGAUUGGAAAUCACUUUCCAGGGGCUGUUAUGGCACAGGGGCUAUAAAAGAUCGGCUCAGCCUGGAUUAUCUAAAUUCUACAUGUCAUCGGCACUGGCUUUGACUGUCUCCUGGGAGGUCACCUCUGAGCCUUUGGAAUACGCUUCCUGACAAGAGCGUCUUUGCAUGGUUGGGGUCCAGGGACACAGUGGAGAGUCUGUGCUGGCCAUGUGAUUUAUGGAGAAUGGCUGGGCCACACUACUGGUUUGAACAGUGUGGGAGGGGCUGCCGGAGAUUGAGCUGAUAAGGCGCCUUGUGUGAGUAUUCCAUGGUCCCAUGAAACUCCAGCUAACACAUUCUCACUGGUUUGCACACACACUCGUGGUACAUGCAUAACUAUCCCAUUGGGAAGCUUGUACCAGCCGAUGGGCUGUCUCAUGCUGUUCAAUGAGACAGUCAAACAUGUACCACUAGUGUUUCAAAUGACUGGGGACAUAAGACAUUCAAAUCAGAGCUGCCAGGCAGUGAAACAUGAAUUAUAGCCCUGUUGUGAACGUGUUAAGUGGUUGGCCACCUGUCUUAAGUGUACUUCCCUGUUGACAAUACAGCAUUGAAUGGUUACUCUUGAUUGAUUAGCCAAUAUCCAUAGUUUAGAGAAAGAGAGCUUUGAUUUGGCUCACAUUCUCAGGGGGUUCAGUCUGUGGUUGGCUCCAAGGCAGAAACAUCACAGUAGAAGAGCAUGACAGAAAAAAAGACUUGUACCAAAAUCAUACCUCCAUGACCAACAUAGACACCGGGAGGAAUAUGCCAGGAAUACCUGUGCAGCUCCCAAGCCAAUUAAGUUGAUACAGUGAAGCUUGACCAUCAGAAUCCGUUUGCCAUGGAGGCAUCUGCUCCCUCACCUCUUCCUCUUGGGCUCUCCCCUGCUCUCUGCUUCCUGGGUGCCGUGAACUGAGCAGCUUUCUUCUCCCACACCCUUCCAACAUGAUGUUUCUGCCUUGGAGCCAGCUGCGGACCAAACCCUCUCAACUGGGGGCCACAGAAACGCUUCCUCCCUCAAGCUGUGCAUGUUAUUAGUCUGAACAGUGGAAAGCUGACCAUUACACUUCACAAGUUUGUCCUGGUUCAAUUGCUGGGAGGAUUAUGUGCUAUUCAUUCGAAAACAAUGGAGUUUACAUCUGAUUUUCGUGGAUGCCAUCCUCUGCUUCAUCUUCCUUUUCUGGUUUUAAUUUGUAUCUUUUUGCCAUGAAAUAAACUGCAACCAUGGGUAGAACAGCUUUUCUGAAUUGUAACAAAUCAUCAAACCUGAGGGUGGUCAUGGCGGGUCCUCUCACAGAGACUGGAGCCUCCAAACUCCCACAUUUCAGCAGCUCUAAAGGACGAACAGGCUGUGUCCAACCAGGGCCUCCCUGCCCCGUGAUUGUUUGAGAAUAUAAAUUACAUAACCAAUUAGCCAAUUUAUCCAUUUCCCUCCACUAUUCCCUAAUCAAUACCUCCAAACUUAGAAAAGCACAUAUUCAAUUCCCUCUCCCUCCCAGCUCCUGACAGUCAUCAUAAUUCGGAGGUAAUUUGGUCCAGUUAUAAAAGACACACACAAAAGAAUUCAAUCAUUUUUCUGCCUGAUAAAUCUCUGCUCUCCCUGAGGACAUGACUGCUACUCGCUGUCCUUCUGAUAGUCCCAGUGUGUGGCUCUUUGCUCAGUCAGAUGUUAAGGGCUUGAGAGGAAGGAAGAGGGAGGAUGGACGGAAGGUGGAAAUUCUGGAAAAGAGAGAGAAGCCACAGGGAAGAAGGGCGAGGAGCUGAGCUAGGGCCCACUGUUGCUGGCGAGGCCUUUGUUGGAAGGAGAUGUUUGCGUUAGUGUCUCAGGUCUGUCUCAGGAAGCCAACAGCUUCCGUUAAGGAAGCCCCCGACAGAGCUGGGAAGUCUGGGGCCUUCAAGGAGGAUUGUUUGAGCCCCUUUUCUCCCUGUUUACCACUCUGCACCCCGCUGCCCCAGGCUGGGCCCUUCUCAGUUAGCUGGAGGACUUGGCAGUGACAGAAUUGGCCUGAUGUAGCCCAGGCUACCAGUUCCUGCAAAGAGGUCCAGACCCUGCUCCUAAAAGCAAGGUGGAGUUUCCUGUUGAAGUGACAAACCCAAGUAGGGGCCCUGAGGGUCAUCUUUCCAGGUCCUUGGUGUGCCAAAGAACUGGACACAGAAGAGGCAGAAAGGGUGCACAUUUAUUGAAAGUAGAAGAGAAAUUCAUUCUGCAGGGUGAGAGCCGGUGGCAAAAAGGCUCACAGUAGCCCUGAGGUUAAAGCUUAAGGGGUCUUUGGUAUCCAAAAGACUUGGAUUGACCUCCGCUUCAUGUAAAAAAGGUACAAGGCCAUUUGUCCUAUCAAACACUCACAAGGUCUCAUGCCAGAUUUAAACUGUCCUACUGAGAAACUCACUUCUCAGAUGUAAAGAAGGAUCAGAAACAGUGUCUUUUGAUUGGUUGUGCUCACACAUAAAUAAAAGAUAGAAAAGCUCACUUUUCUGAUUGGUCCACAGGGGCUCAGGAUCCCUAAGUCUGAUGCCCUUUAGCCAUGUUCUGUGCAUGUUCUCUUCUGUGCAUGUUCUCUUCUUGGAGACGUCUUGCUCAACUUGCUAGCUGUGGGUUUUUAAUGACCUUUGAUCCUUCCUAGCCAGUAGGGGUCUGGUCUGACCCAACCCAAGUCACCAUCCUCAUGGAGGCUUCCAUGUGUUCUGGAGAUGAAAAUGUAAUGCCCCAGGAGGGAGCUAAGUUUUUCUUAUCAGCUGUUCCUGAGGCUGAGCCUGGUCAGCCUGAAUGCCUUGGUCAGCCUCCUCUCUGGUUUGGACUGAAGCCAUGAGCAAAUUCCUGUCCUCCUGUCAGUGUUGGACAUUGUGUCUCAGUGACGAGAAAGCUGACUCUGCACAUGGAGAGAACACUGCAACUGCUCCUGCGGCUGAAGCUUCUGUGGGAAGUUAGAUUUCUGAUUCUAGUUUCUUCUUCGGAAGCGAAGAGGAAAGUCUCCAGCUGGGUUUAAACACAUUAAUUCCCAAAUUGAGUUUGGAUCUCCUGCUAUUUAAAAAUCCUAUUUGGUAAGCACUUCACAGAGCAACAGCUCUGAAGCAGAAAGAUUACCUUCCCAUUAGUCUGGCCCACUAGUUUGCAUUGUUGUUCAAAAGGCGUCAAAGGGAAUUUAAGAGGAAUGGAGGUUUCAAAGGCAGGGAGAACCAGCCUUCUAAAGCCUGGGAGCCCCCAUUGCUAGGGAAGUGAGGACCUGUUGCCGGUUUCUGGCCGAUGAGGCUUUCUAAACCUUGUAAGCACCUGAAUUGAGAUCCUGGUUGUGUUCAGGCUGCUUCGUUUGGCUUUUUUGUAGGGGCCUCUGCCUCCAAGCCAGCACCAGCAUCUGCUCCCCUCACUUCUUGGACCCUGUGAGAAUCUGUAGAUGACCCAGCUCUGCCUGAAACUGACCCACAGCUGCCUCCUCUGGAGAAGGGCCCCAGGCUGUGCCUUGGAUGCCACCAGGUCCAGUUUGUUCCUGUUCUGCUUGUACAAGACAUGUAGAAGGACAAGAGCUUUUGAUAGUGGGAAGGUUGAGGGCGGCAGGAAAGAGUGCUCAGACACCCUAGCAACAAGUUUUAAUAUUCCAUCUUUUGAAAAAUUGAGAUUUUCUUUUAACACUGACACAGAGAAAAUAAACUAUGGCAUGUUUCAUAA